GUUUAGGCACAAAGAACUAGGACACAGCAGGGGCAAUUAGACAGGAACAAUAGCGAACAAUAGCUACCUAAGAUAGGAUAAGCACGCCUUAGAAGUUCGAGAUCAUUCCAUGUAAUUUCACUGUUCCCUUCUAUACACCAGUGAUCCCCAGCCUCAAUUUUGUCCUCAAUGUCCUUGUGAUAGCCAGGAAGCUCCUAUAAGGAAAGUUUAUCCAGAUUUUGCCGGACGGAAAGAGAUCCGAUUACUGAAAGUGAAGUUCCCAAAUUCAAGCUGCGCGUUCGAGGGAAACCUUAAUGAAUA